rnacentral:rRNA from 1 species
UAAUACGUAGGGUGCGAGCGUUAAUCGGAAUUACUGGGCGUAAAGCGUGCGCAGGCGGUUUGUUAAGUCUGAUGUGAAAGCCCCGGGCUCAACCUGGGAAUGGCAUUGGAAACUGGCAAGCUCGAGUGCGGCAGAGGGGGGUGGAAUUCCGCGUGUAGCAGUGAAAUGCGUAGAGAUGCGGAGGAACACCGAUGGCGAAGGCAGCCCCCUGGGCCGACACUGACGCUCAGGCACGAAAGCGUGGGGAGCAAACAGG